CCUCCAUAUCAACGAAGUAGUGACUAGUAAUGGCCCUUGGGAAAAAAACUAGUUGCGUUAGACUGUUUCAAAAAUAGUUGUAGGUUUGAAAUUUAGUUUAGUAAUUUACGGGAAAGGACAUACGAAAAUAAAACUCAAAAUUAGCAAACCGAGUACAAUAAUUCCCCCUCCAUGAGCUCAGUCAACAUUUCAGAUUUUUUUUUUUUUUUCAUUUUCCUAAGCAUAAAUAAUGAGGAAAUUCUGGUUUUUCCUAACAAUUCCGUUGUGACUACAAUAAAGAAAGAAUCUAGUUUAUACAGUUUAAAUCAUUUAGAGUUCCACAUCUAAUAUUAUUUAAAUUAAAUUAUUGUAAAAAUAGUAUUUUAAAAAUGUUGAAAAAUAUGUGAGAAAAUAUAAAUAAAUUAUCCAAGUAGGUAUGUUUCUAUUUUUUAUAUCACUCAACUAUGAAGAACCGCCGAAUGAAACAAGUUCACGAAUUUAUGAAUUUCUUCAAAAAUUAUUUGGAGACUUUUCAACAGAUAUAUACAUUUCAACAAAUAGAAUCUACUUCAGUUUGGUGAGAAACAUCGAAGAAGAGUUGAAGCGUUAUUUUUUCUCCAUGAUUCAAGCCUGUAUCUCUUCGAUCCUUAGUAUCCUUUGUGAGCUUUAUAGAACUGAAAUUCUACAGCCUUUGAGCAAAAAACUUUAUUCCAAUGCUGAAAAGGCAGAAGCUAUUAUGUUUAUGUCGACAAAAUUAUCUUUUGCCAUACUAGUCAUGAUUACGUUUGCUUUUUUUAUUCAUAAAUAUUGAAUUAAGUAUUUUUUUACCUUGCAUAUAUGUAUACAUUUGUACUUACAAUUGGAUAAUUAAUUAAUAGAUACUGAAUUUAAUCUUCUCAUUCGAAAUUGUAUACAGUGUAAAAAAAAUUGAGAUUAUUUAUCAUACGAAAUACAAAAUGUUGAAAACAUUAAUCUUGAUUUAGAUAAAUAGUAAUAUCAAUAGAG
rnacentral:lncRNA from 1 species